rnacentral:rRNA from 1 species
UUACUCCUACGGGAGGCAGCAGGCGCGAAAAUUAUCCAAUCCUGACUCAGGGAGGUAGUGAAAGAAAUAAUGAACUAGGAUUUAUCCUGGGAUCACAAUGGGCUUGAUUUGCAAACUUUAUUUAGCGAGGAACAAUUGGAGGGCAAGUCUGGUGCCAGCAGCCGCGGUAAUAA